GACGAACGCUGGCGGCGUGCUUAACACAUGCAAGUCGAACGGAAAGGCCCUGCUUUUGUGGGGUGCUCGAGUGGCGAACGGGUGAGUAACACGUGAGUAACCUGCCCUUGACUUAGGGAUAACUUCAGGAAACUGGGGCUAAUACCGGAUAUGAGCUCCUGCUGCAUGGUGGGGGUUGGAAAGUUUCGGCGGUUGGGGAUGGACUCGCGGCUUAUCAGCUUGUUGGUGGGGUAGUGGCUUACCAAGGCUUUGACGGGUAGCCGGCCUGAGAGGGUGACCGGCCACAUUGGGACUGAGAUACGGCCCAGACUCCUACGGGAGGCAGCAGUGGGGAACAUGGCACAAUGGGCGGAAGCCUGAUGCAGCAACGCCGCGUGCGGGAUGACGGCCUUCGGGUUGUAAACCGCUUUCGCCUGUGACGAAGCGUGAGUGACGGUAAUGGGUAAAGAAGCACCGGCUAACUACGUG
rnacentral:rRNA from 1 species